rnacentral:rRNA from 1 species
UUCGUGCUCGAAAGAGAACCUGCACACAGGUGCUGCAUGGCUGUCGUCAGCUCGUGUCGUGAGAUGUUGGGUUAAGUCCCCGCAACGAGCGCAACCCUUGCCAUCAGUUGCUACGAAAGGGCACUCUGAUGGGACUGCCGGUGACAAACCGGAGGAAGGUGGGGAUGACGUCAAGUCCUCAUGGCCCUUAUAGGUGGGGCUACACACGUCAUACAAUGGCCGGUACAAAGGGCAGCCAACCCGCGAGGGGGAGCCAAUCCCAUAAAGCCGGUCGUAGUCCGGAUCGCAGUCUGCAACUCGACUGCGUGAAGUCGGAAUCGCUAGUAAUCGUGGAUCAGCAUGUCACGGUGAAUACGUUCCCGGGUCUU